CCCAGGUGCCAGAGUUCGUAUAUGACUCCAGUCCUGGCGCUGGAUGCUGCUGCUGUUCCAGCUUCCUAGGUGUGGAAACUGAAGGACCAAGAGAUUAAACAGUGGUGCAAAAGUGGUAAGAAUUCAGCAUUCUCCUCGACAAGUGGACGAGCAUCUACUGUGCUUUCACAGCGGCUAUCACUAUUGCCAGCAGCAAGACUGUCAGCUCGGCGCCCUCGUCUGGUUGGAUGGGAAACUGCAGUUGCUAAGGGAGCUGGGAAUCUCUGAGGACAAAUGGGAAUUCUCACUGAUUUCUAGGACUACCCUGGGGCAGAGAUGGAGUUUCAUCACAUUGCCUAGGCUGGUCUCGAAAUCCUGGACUCAAGUGAUCUGCUGGCCUCAGCCUCCCUAACUGCUGGGACUAGAGGCCUGAGCGACCACCCCUGGCUGUAAACAUUUUCUUAGCUCAAGGAUUGCUGAAUUUGUAUCCAUUUUCUUCUCUCCUAUCUCAAUUGGGUGGGUGAAAUGAUACUGUUAAUUAUUUUCUGUUACUUUUGAAUGCUUCUUUGUGGCGAACUGAGGGCAUAGUAAUACUGUAGCAGCUAAC
rnacentral:lncRNA from 1 species